UGGGUCUGUUCAGAACAGACCCAUCGGUGAUGGUGGGUCUGUUCAGAACAGACCCAUCGGUGAUGGUGGGUCUGUGAGAACAGAUCCACCAUCACCGGUGGAUCUGUCACAGACCCACCAUCA